rnacentral:rRNA from 1 species
AAACCCCCUCGCCGAAAGACUAAGGUUUCCUGAUCAACGCUAAUCGGAUCAGGGUUAGUCGGGUCCUAAGGCUCAGCCGAACGGUGAUGCCGAUGGCAGAACAGGUUAAUAUUCCUGUACUACCUUAAGGAGUGACGUGGAGACGGAGUCGUGACAGCGCCGCGGACUGACGGAAUAGUCCGUUGAAGGGUGUAGAUGUUGAUCUUUGCAGGCAAAUCCACAAAGAGAGUCGAACCUGAUAGUAUACCAAAUUCUUCGGAAUAAGGUAAUAGUGCGUGUAAGCAUACUCCCAAGAAAAUCCGCUAAACUUAAUCUUUAAGGUACCCGUACCGCAAACGGACACACGUAGUCGGGUUGAAUAUACUAAGGCGCUUGAGUGAUUCACGGUUAAGGAACUAGGCAAACUGACCCUGUAACUUCGGGAUAAAGGGUCCUCGCUUAACGGCGAGGCGCAGAGAAUAGGUCCAGGCAACUGUUUAACAAAAACACAGGGCUGUGCAAAAUUGAAAGAUGAAGUAUACAGCCUGACACCUGCCCGGUGCUGGAAGGUUAAGAGGAGAUGUCAUCGCAAGAGAAGCAUUGAAUUGAAGCCCCAGUAAACGGCGGCCGUAACUAUAACGGUCCUAAGGUAGCGAAAUUCCUUGUCGGGUAAGUUCCGACCUGCACGAAUGGUGUAAUGAUCUGGACGCUGUCUCAACCGUGAGCUCAGUGAAAUUGUAGUAUCGGUGAAGAUGCCGAUUACCCGCGAUGGGACGAAAAGACCCCGUGAACCUUUACUAUAGCUUAACAUUGAAUUUGGGUAAUUGAUGUGUAGGAUAGGCCGGAGGCUUUGAAGCGGGCACGCCAGUGUCCGUGGAGCCGCUGUUGAAAUACGGCCCUUUGAUUAUUUGAGUUCUAACCCGUUGUUGCGGGGACACUGUUUGGUGGGUAGUUUGACUGGGGUGGUCGCCUCCAAAAGUGUAACGGAGGCUUCUAAAGGUGCCCUCAGGACGAUUGGUAACCGUCCGUAGAGUGUAAUGGCAUAAGGGCGCUUGACUGGGAGACAGACAAGUCGAUCAGGUAGGAAACUAGAGCAUAGUGAUCCGGUGUUUCCGUAUGGA